AGUGAACGCUGGCGGUAGGCCUAACACAUGCAAGUCGAACGGCAGCACAGUAAGAGCUUGCUCUUACGGGUGGCGAGUGGCGGACGGGUGAGGAAUACAUCGGAAUCUACUUUUUCGUGGGGGAUAACGCAGGGAAACUUACGCUAAUACCGCAUACGACCUACGGGUGAAAGCAGGGGAUCUUCGGACCUUGCGCGAUUGAAUGAGCCGAUGUCGGAUUAGCUAGUUGGCGGGGUAAAGGCCCACCAAGGCGACGAUCCGUAGCUGGUCUGAGAGGAUGAUCAGCCACACUGGAACUGAGACACGGUCCAGACUCCUACGGGAGGCAGCAGUGGGGAAUAUUGGACAAUGGGCGGAAGCCUGAUCCAGCCAUACCGCGUGGGUGAAGAAGGCCUUCGGGUUGUAAAGCCCUUUUGUUGGGAAAGAAAAGCAGCAGGUUAAUACCCCGCUGUUCUGACGGUACCCAACGAAUAAGCACCGGCUAACUUCGUG
rnacentral:rRNA from 1 species